GCAGAAUCCAGUUACGCUUCAGUUUCAACUUACAGACUGAAGACCGGACAUUCUCCUUUAGGAUUUUCUGGUAGAGAGCAGAAUUCAUGUUUCCCUCAAUUACUGCAAGUUGUCCAGACCCUGAAGCAGCAGAGCAUCCCCACACCAUCACACUGCCUCCACCAUGCUUGACCGUAGGAAAAAGUGUCGACUGGAACAGGAUUUUCUCCUUACACAUAUCAGAGACACCCCCUAAACGCUCACCGAUACUCUAAAGGUCCAGAUGUGAGCUGAAACUGAGUGGUGAUGUCAUCACAGCCCCAUGUCCACUCCUCUGCGGAAUCCAGAAAGCAGACAGAGGAGAGAAGUGGGGGAUGAGAGAGAAAGAGAAGGGAAAGGUAUGCAAUAGACACCAAAAUGAAGAAAUAGGAACAUUUGCUUUGGACAGUGAAAGCAAGGGGGUGGUGGUGUUCUUUAAUUCAAAGUCAAGAGAGAUUAAGAAACAUGUAUCAAACGUGUUACAAGCCACGUGUGUAAGAUCUGCACUGCUGAACAUUUCAGUUCAAGUGAUUAAGGUGAAGUCAAAAGAAUGAUUACAGAACGCAUACUUGCACAAAGUCAGCAUUUACUGUGAAGUUGACUCACCUCUAUGAAACGGAAAAUGACAAACAUAUGUUCG
ensembl:lncRNA